rnacentral:rRNA from 1 species
CGAGGGGCAGCAGUACUUUUCGGAGUAGCUGGCGACCGGCGCACGGGUGCGUAACGCGUAUGCAAUCUACCUACAGCAGAGGGAUAGCCCGUGGAAACAUGGAUUAAUACCUCAUAAUACAGGGGGCCCACCUGGGCAUAUUGUUAAAGAUUUAUCGGCUGUAGAUGAGCAUGCGUCCCAUUAGCUAGUUGGUACGGUAACGGCGUACCAAGGCGAUGAUGGGUAGGGGUUCUGAGAGGAUGAUCCCCCACACUGGUACUGAGAUACGGACCAGACUCCUACGGGAGGCAGCAGUAGGGAAUAUUGGUCAAUGGACGAGAGUCUGAACCAGCCAUGCCGCGUGCAGGAAGACGGCCUUCUGGGUUGUAAACUGCUUUUCUCAGGGAAGAAAAUGGUCUUGCGAGACAAAUUGCCGGUACCUGAGGAAUAAGCACCGGCUAACUCCGUGCCAGCAGCCGCGGUAAUACGGAGGGUGCGAGCGUUGUCCGGAUUUAUUGGGUUUAAAGGGUGCGUAGGCGGCCUAUUAAGUCAGUGGUGAAAGGUAUCAGCUUAACUGAUGAUGUGCCAUUGAAACUGACAGGCUUGAGUACAGACGAGGUAGGCGGAAUUUAUGGUGUAGCGGUGAAAUGCAUAGAUACCAUAAAGAACACCGAUAGCGAAGGCAGCUUACUAGGCUGAGACUGACGCUGAGGCACGAAAGCGUGGGGAGCGAACAGGAUUAGAUACCCUGGUAGUCCACGCUGUAAACGAUGAUUACUGGAUGUGUGCGAUAAACAGUACGCGUCUGAGCGAAAGCGUUAA